AACGAACGCUGGCGGCAUGCCUAACACAUGCAAGUCGAACGAGACCUUCGGGUCUAGUGGCGCACGGGUGCGUAACGCGUGGGAAUCUGCCCUUGGGUUCGGAAUAACUUCGGGAAACUGAAGCUAAUACCGGAUGAUGUCGUAAGACCAAAGAUUUAUCGCCCAAGGAAGAGCCCGAGUAGGAUUAGCUAGUUGGUGGGGUAAAGGCCUACCAAGGCGACGAUCCUUAGCUGGUCUGAGAGGAUGAUCAGCCACACUGGGACUAGGACACGGCCGAGACUCUUACAGGAGGAGGCAGUGGCGAAUAUUGCCCAAUGGGCGAAAGCCUGAUCCAGCACUGGCGCUUGAGUAAUGAAGGCCUUAGGGUUGUAAAGCUCUUUUACCCGGGAUGAUAAUGACAGUACCGGGAGAAUAAGCCCCGGCUAACUCCGUGCCAGCCGCCGCCGUAAUAC
rnacentral:rRNA from 1 species